AAGGAACCCCGGGAGGCGGAGGUCUGGUAGCACCACCUACUCUCUUAAAGGAGUAGGCGCUCAGAGUUCAAAACACGUAAGGCAGCUAUUUUCGUCUUUCCUAGUUCUUCUGAUGGAUCUCAAUUACUGCCUCUAUUCUGCCACAACAGACGCUCAGAACCCGAAAGUUGGGGAGGGCCUUAGUGAGCAUCCCCGGAUGAACCUCCUAGAAAAGGCGGCCGUGUCUGGCUUUGGAUUGGCGGCCGCCCCAUCGGAGGAGGAAGGGGAGCGUGUCGGCUUCUAGACACUUGGGCAGUCAAUCGGUAAUAAUUUAUGCACCCACACUCCGCGGGAGCCCAGUCUCUCGCAGUUCUUGGCGAGGCGGCCUAGGACAUGGUCCGAGGCGCUGGUGGGCGGUCGGCCGGCCCGGGCACCCUGCGUGAAGACUAGACCAAGCCCCCUGCUCUCCUCGCACGGAGUCUACAAGUCUGCAGUGGCCACUGUCUCAGUGGCUAAGAGCUGGGGACGUGCUGCUGAUCACGUGAGAUCCAGCCCAGAAAGCUGCCCCCAGUUGCUGUCUCGCAAGUUCUAUCAUCUUGUGUUAAUAAGGGAGGAACUGCCAAGUGGAAGGCGUGACAAAAGCAACAAGUAAAAUGAAUUGUUGCCUCUUUACCAUUCUGCCUGGAGCCAACUGAUUAUGGAUUGAAACCUCUACGAACUGUGAGACAAAGAAACCCCUUACCCUCUUAACUUUGGAUGUCAGAUCCUCUUUAGUGGUGAGUUCAAAGAGUCCAUGUGGUUGAGUAUCAGAGUGUUCCAUCUCAUUUCCCUUUGGGGUUGCUGUAGGUGAUUCUGGAAGUCUGGUUCUGAGGCUUGUUUACCUACCUUCUCAUUUUGAUGCGGGGGGCGGGGGUGUUGUUCCUGGCACCCGCAGUGCUCACCUCCUCUCUGCUGGGAGCUCUGGCACGCCUACCCAGAAGCCUCCUCUAUGCUGGGAGCCGUGGCACCCUGACCCGGAAGUCUCCUCUGCACUGGGAGCCAUGGUGUGCUGACCUGGAAGUCUCUUCUGUGCUGGGAGCUGUGGCAUGCUGACCUGGAAGCCUCCUCUAUUCUGGGAGCCACGGCACAACAACCCGGAAGCCUCCUCUACGCUGGGAGCCAUGGCACGCCUACCUGGAAGUCUCCUCCUGCCUAGGAACCAUGGCACGCUGACCCUGAAGUCUCCUCUGGGCUGGGAGCUGUGGCACACUUACCUGGAAGCCCCCUCUACACUGGGAGCCAUGACACACCUACCCAGAAGCCUCCUCCUGCCUGGGAGCCAUGGCGUGCUGACCUGGAAGUCUCCUCUGGGCUGGGAGCCAUGGCACACCAACCUGGAGGUCUCCUCUCCCUACACAAUAUAUCUUUGUUUUUGUUUUUGUUUUUUUCUACACAAUAUAUCUUGAUUCAUCUUUUUCUCCCAAUCCCCUUCCCUCCCGUCAACCUUCCAUUCUCCCUUAUUUACAAAAGUUGUUUCUGUUUUUUCCUUCUUUUCUCAUUUUUUUCACCUUUUCCCUUCCUUUCCCCCCUCUUCCCUUCACAGUUUCUCUUUUCCUUUGAACAGUUUUUUCCUAUUUUAUAUUACCUAUUAUACCAAAAGUGCAUGAGAAAUAGUGCAAAGAAUCAAUAAUUGGGAUGUCAUCCUGUUAAGAAGGGUUUACACCACAAAAAGAAAUCAACAACAGAGUGAACAGAUAACCCC
ensembl:lncRNA